GAGUUUGAUCAUGGCUCAGGAUGAACGCUGGCGGCGUGCUUAACACAUGCAAGUCGAACGAACCUUCGGGUUAGUGGCGGACGGGUGAGUAACGCGUGAGAAUCUGCCCUCAGGAGGGGGAUAACGGUUGGAAACGACCGCUAAUACCCCAUAUGCCUACUGGUGAAAUGAAUUUCGCCUGAGGAUGAGCUCGCGUCUGAUUAGCUAGUUGGUGUGGUAAUGGCUCACCAAGGCUUCGAUCAGUAGCUGGUCUGAGAGGAUGAUCAGCCACACUGGGACUGAGACACGGCCCAGACUCCUACGGGAGGCAGCAGUGGGGAAUUUUCCGCAAUGGGCGAAAGCCUGACGGAGCAACGCCGCGUGAGGGACGAAGGCCUCUGGGCUGUAAACCUCUUUUCUCAAGGAAGAAGAUAUGACGGUACUUGAGGAAUAAGCCACGGCUAAUUCCGUGCCAGCAGCCGCGGUAAUACGGGAGUGGCAAGCGUUAUCCGGAAUUAUUGGGCGUAAAGCGUCCGCAGGCGGCUUUUCAAGUCUGCUGUUAAAACGUGGAGCUUAACUCCAUCAUGGCAGUGGAAACUGAAAGGCUUGAGUAUGGUAGGGGCAGAGGGAAUUCCCGGUGUAGCGGUGAAAUGCGUAGAUAUCGGGAAGAACACCAGUGGCGAAGGCGCUCUGCUGGGCCAUUACUGACGCUCAUGGACGAAAGCCAGGGGAGCGAAAGGGAUUAGAUACCCCUGUAGUCCUGGCCGUAAACGAUGAACA
rnacentral:rRNA from 1 species